rnacentral:rRNA from 1 species
UGAGCAACCUGCCCCCUACUUCGGGAUAAGCCUGGGAAACUGGGUCUAAUACCGGAUAUGACUCCUCAUCGCAUGGUGGGGGGUGGAAAGCUUUUUGUGGUUUUGGAUGGACUCGCGGCCUAUCAGCUUGUUGGUGAGGUAACGGCUCACCAAGGCUUCGACGGGUAGCCGGCCUGAGAGGGCGACCGGCCACACUGGGACUGAGAUACGGCCCAGACUCCGUACGGGAGCAG